GACAGAGGGUGCGACCGUUGUUCGGAAUUACUGGGCGUAAAGCGCGUGUAGGCGGCAACGCAAGUCGGGCGUGAAAUCCCACGGCUCAACCGUGGAAGUGCACUCGAAACUGCGUAGCUAGAGUCCUGGAGAGGAAGGUGGAAUGCUUGGUGUAGAGGUGAAAUUCGUAGAUAUCAAGCGGAACACCGGUGGCGAAGGCGGCCUUCUGGACAGUGACUGACGCUGAGACGCGAAAGCGUGGGGAGCAAACAGG
rnacentral:rRNA from 1 species